rnacentral:rRNA from 1 species
GGGCCCGCACAAGCGGUGGAGCAUGUGGUUUAAUUCGAUGCAACGCGAAGAACCUUACCAGGGUUUGACAUGGGAGUUUGGUUUCCGGAGACGGAUUCCUUCAGUUCGGCUGGCUCCCACACAGGUGCUGCAUGGCUGUCGUCAGCUCGUGUCGUGAGAUGUUGGGUUAAGUCCCGCAACGAGCGCAACCCUCAUCUUUAGUUGCCAUCAGUUAGGCUGGGCACUCUAGAGAAACUGCCUGCGAUGAGCAGGAGGAAGGCGGGGAUGACGUCAAGUCCUCAUGGCCCUUAUGGACUGGGCUACACACGUGCUACAAUGGCGGUGACAGUGGGAAGCGAUAGGGUGAACCUGGAGCAAAUCCCCAAAAAGCCGUCCCAGUUCGGAUUGUACUCUGCAACUCGAGUGCAUGAAGUUGGAAUC